rnacentral:rRNA from 1 species
UAGGUGAACCUGCCGAAGCAUCAUUG